rnacentral:ncRNA from 1 species
AGAUAUUGGGGAGAUGGAUCCGGGCCGAGCGUCAAAUCGGUCACCGCUUGGCGGCCCGGGGAGUCAGUGGUGAGACCGCCCCCGACCCAC